ACUCCUACGGGAGGCAGCAGUAGGGAAUCUUCCACAAUGGGCGCAAGCCUGAUGGAGCAACACCGCGUGAGUGAAGAAGGGUUUCGGCUCGUAAAGCUCUGUUGUUAAAGAAGAACACGUAUGAGAGCAACUGUUCAUACGUUGACGGUAUUUAACCAGAAAGUCACGGCUAACUACGUGCCAGCAGCCGCGGUAAUACGUAGGUGCAAGCGUUAUCCGGAUUUAUUGGGCGUAAAGAGAGUGCAGGCGGUUUUCUAAGUCUGAUGUGAAAGCCUUCGGCUUAACCGGAGAAGUGCAUCGGAAACUGGAUAACUUGAGUGCAGAAGAGGGUAGUGGAACUCCAUGUGUAGCGGUGGAAUGCGUAGAUAUAUGGAAGAACACCAGUGGCGAAGGCGGCUACCUGGUCUGCAACUGACGCUGAGACUCGAAAGCAUGGGUAGCGAACAGGAUUAGAUACCCUGGUAGGAUAGCG
rnacentral:rRNA from 1 species